GUGCUGAUUUUGGAAGCACAUAUUCUAAAAUUGGAAAAAUACAAAAAAGAUUAGCAUGUCCCCUGAACAAGAAUGAUACACACA
ensembl:snRNA Gm25819 predicted gene, 25819